GAAGCUGCAGAGAGGAUAUCUUUGCUGGUUUGGGCUGCCUCCUUUUAUAGGUGAGGAAUCCCAAUCCAAUUAGGUUUUGGAAUCCUAAAUUGGAUUGGUCCUUGUCUUUGAUCUCUACUUUAAUUGUGAAUAAAUCUUCUUCUUGAGGAGGUCUAUCUUGAGAGUGACUCUUUGAGAUGCCCUAGGAUUGAUCUUGAAGUGUUUGAGAGGGGUUAGGACUUCUUUAUUUUAAAUCUUGAAUUUUUGCACUUUCCCGCUUCUGCUGUAUUUUCUGCUGUCAACGUGAUUAGGGCGGUAAUUUGGGCAGAUCGCUGCCCUAAUCGCUUUUUGUGAGUCAGUCCAGUUUUUGGCUUUCUGUCUUUGCGAGUGAUUUGGGCGGUGAUUUGGGCAAAUCGUCAUGCCCAAAUCAUUUCUGCGUGUUGCCUCCGGGUUUCUGUUCCUGCGGGUGACUUGGCCAACUCAUUGACCCAAUCAGUCUCCUGUGAGAUAGUUCAGGUUUCUGCUUUAGCUUGAUCUGGGCAGUGAUUUGGCCAAGUUACUGACCCAAUCACUUUUCUGUCAUUUUCUGUACUUUUUCUCCACUUUUCCAAUUUAUUCUUUUUCUGUAAAAACAAGAUAAAAACCAUAAAUUAAGCUGAAAAAUGUGUAAAUAAGCAAUAAUAAAUAUAAUAAAAAUGUGGCUAAAUUAUGCUUGAUCAAAUACCUCCACACUUAGCUUUUUGCUUGUCCUCAAGCAAUAAAUAACUUAGUCAAUCAAGCUCCUUUUUCUUUUGAGCCUAAGUACCACUUAAUUAGCCCCCCCUAGACUCCUAAGCUGAAGUAUCACAGUAUAGAGUACAUGCACCAAGGUUGCCCUCUCCUUUCCUUGUUUCCUUUCACCUAUCAUGGUCAAGAGAAAGGUUUUUUAUUCAAUCAUGCUUAUUCUUUUAUAUUAGGCUUAGUGCAACCCCUUAAGAGUAACUGGCCCCUUUUUAAGUAUUUUUUUUUAACAACACUUUUUAUCCUUGCCUGAAAAAGUCACCAACUUUUUUACGCGAUGGUGCAUAUGGGUGAUACACCCCCGGUUACUCAGUUGGUCACUUAUCCAAGUGGCUACUAGCUCUGUUCAUAAUCUUAGACCAUCGAAACUUAUUUUUGCUUGAAAAAGUCACCAACCUUUUUACGCGAUGGUGCAUAUGGGUGAUACACCCCCGGUUACUCAGUUGGUCACUUGUCCAAGUGACUAUUAGCUUAGUUCAUAGUCUUAGAUCAUUGGAACAGGUUUAUGAUUGGUGCUUUGUGCUGGGUUUUUCUUUUUCUUUUCUUUUCAUGAUGUUUUUGGGCAAAUCAGCUCAUAGGAAGUUUACACUAACUUUUUAUUUGCAUGUAUUUGUAUUUUUAUUUCCCUUGACCUUAGUAGAUUGAAGAUUCAAUUUAAGAAGAAAAAAAAAACUCCCUAAGUGAAGGUAACAUACUGUAAAUGUUCAAUUUAGGCUUAAAGGGGUGGCAAAUCAAUGGGGUCAUGAGAUAAGGAAACUCUUUUAACCUUAUUAUCUAUGUUGAGUAGAGCAAAAGCUAAGACAAAAUUCUGUGUGUGUGUGCAGGAAGUAAAAAAUGUGUGCCAAGAAAGAAAAAAAAUGUGUGGUGUGUGUCAUGGGGCAAAAAAAAAAAUGCAAAAAGAAACAAAAAGAAACAAAUAGAAAUCAAAAGAUGGUGUAAUCAGUGAAUAAAUAUUCUCCAGUACCCCCACACCUAUCCCAAAUAUUGUCCUCAAUGUUUGAAUAUAUAUAUAUAUAUAGAGAAAUUAAGGAAAAAAAAAAGGGAAAGGGGCUUCCUGGCCUGUGGGUAAUUCGGCCAGUGAUUUGGGCAAAUCACUGGCCCAAUCACUGUCUGUCGUGGUGUUGGGACAGAAAAUGGUCUACCAACAGCUGCAGCAUGCUUUCCAUGUGCUGCAUCCUGUCUUCGAUUCUGGUGAGAUGAGCCUCCACCGAAUGGUCUUGAGGUGCCUUUUAUGUCCUCCAAGGUCCACCCAAUUGCUUCUUUGUACUUCCUCAACACUUCUAGAAGUUUUUCUUCUUCUUGUGGGCCGAGCUGGUUGGAAAUUAUAACUGGAAGUGUAUUUUCAGCUCCCAAGAAGGCAUAUUUGAGGUGUUCUGGUAAGGGCUUUAGAUCUGGUGCAUUUGCUGUCUGCUGGUUUGCUGUCUGCUGUCUUUUGGUUGAUUUGGGCAGAUCAUCUGGUGUUGUUUCAGGUGAUUUGGGCAGAUCACUGUCUGUCCUGUUUGUCUGCUCCAGUGAUUUGGGCAAAUCACCUGCAACCAGCUGUGAACAGUACUCCAUUUGGUCUGUCUUAGUGCUGCUGCUGUCUGUCUCUUCAAAUCUGCACAAGUCAGCAUUGAGUGUGUCCUCUAGAUCAAAGUCAAAAAUUUCUUGACUUAAAUCAUCAAUUACAUCAAGGCCAUAAACAGGAGAAACAUCAUUGGGGAAUUUCAUGGCAUCAUAAACAUUAAACUUGAUAACUUCCCCUUCAAACUCCAUGGUCAAUGUGCCAUCAUGCACAUCAAUUUUUGUUCUGGCUGUACUCAAGCAUGGUCUCCCAAGUAAGAUGUCAGAGGUGAUGUUGCCCUUUCUCCUCUAUGUUAAUCACAUAAAAAUAUGCUGGAAAGACUAGUUGGUCAACUUGUACCAACAUAUCUUCUAGUACUCCCUUGGGAUAGACGACGGAUCGGUCAGCCAAUUGGAUCACAAUGCUGGUGCCCUUGAGUGUGCCUGCAUUCAACAAGUUAAAGAUGGAAAGGGGCAUGACAUUGAUUGAAGCCCCAAGGUCACACAUGGCCUUCUUUAUCCCAACGUUGCCUAUUUUGCAUGAAAUAGCAAACAUUCCUCUAUCCUUGCAUUUGGUUGGAAGUUUUCUUUGAAUGACAGCUGAGACACACUCCCCCACACUUACCUUUUCACGUUCAACAAGUUUCCUUCGGUUGGUGCAUAGCUCUUUGAGAAACUUGGCAUACCUUGGAAUUUGCUUCACAGCAUCUAAUAGGGGAAUGUUGAUUUCUACCUUGCGGAGUGUCUCAAGUACUUCUUUCUCCUCUUUCUCCUUUUGGGACCUUGCAAAUCUCUUUGGGAAGGGAGGAGGUACCUUAAAUUUUUCCAUUGGUUGCUGGUCUGCCUUGGUCUGCUUGGAGCUGGACUCUGCCUGGAUUAUUGAUUUGGGCAGAUCGAAUUCUGCCUUGUCUGGCGAUUUGGGCAGAUCACUGCUGGGCAGCUCAGUCUGCCUGGCGAUUGGGUUAGUGAUUUGGGCAGAUCGACUGCCCUGAUCACUUUUUGGCAGAUUCUCCUCCACGGCCUGUUUCUUCAAUUUCUCAGCUUUGCUGUCUUGCAGCUCUUUUCUACUCCUCAAUGUGAUGGCACUAACAUUUUGUCUUGGAUUUAUCUCAGUUUGGGAUAGUAGCUUCCCUUGUGACUCCCAUUUGCUCAUUGAAGUGGCCAUUUGGCUCACUUGUUGCUCAAGAUUUUGCACAGUAUUUGCUAAGGACUUCACAAUCUCUUCAAGAGGUGCAUUGGAGUUCUGAGGUGCAGCUUGAGCUUGAUUCCUUUGCUGGUAGCUUGGAUAUUGAUGUCCCCUUGCAUAACUGAAAUUUGGAUGGUCCCUCCAACCUAGAUUAUAAGUAUAUGCAUAGGGAUCAUGUCUUGGCUGGCUAUUGAAUCCUCCAAAGGAAUGUACUUGCUGGUAAUCCUCAUAAAGUGUAGGACAUCGAUCAGUUGGGUGUCCUACAUAUGUGCAAAUCCCACAUGGUCUGAUUCGCUGAAGUUGUUGAACUUGUUGAGCUUGACCUAUACCAUAAUUUCUCACAAUAGAGGUUAGUUCAGAAAUUUGAGCAGAGAGAAAAGACAUACUUACCGUAGCCAUGCUUGUAAGGUCUUGGUAGUGCGUUCAAUUUCUGGAUCGUAAAGAAGAGCUUCUUUACGAUCAGCCCUAGUCAUAAAAGGAAAAUACGUUAGUUAGAUCAAAUCCCCGGCAACGGCGCCAAUUUUUGAUAAGCGGUUGUCGAAGUCGUCAAAAAUAAACCUAUUAAACAAUCAAUAAUUAACUUGUAGAUAGUGGAAAUAGGGUCGAACCACAGGAAUUUGACACUAUAAAUUUUUCUAAUAAUGACUUGGACAAGUAAAUAACAAAUAAUUAAAAGAGGGGGGUUUUGUUUUGAUGAUUAAAAACUAAAUAGCAAGAGAAAGCAAUAAUUUCAAUAGAUGAGAAUUUCAAUAGGAGAAGAAUUCUAGUUGAAGCAUGGAUCUAUUUCAGUUUGUUUAGAAUUGAUCAUUGAUCUUUUUGAUACUUUUAUUUAUUUCAAUAAGUUAGUUUAGGACGUGGAAGACGCUUCUUACAAUCCAUAUUCCUCCUUAGUUUUAGUUUGAUUAGAAAACGUUCGUUAAUCAAACUCUAGUUAACAAGUUGCCAAGGAACAUCCUUGGGGCUUUUAGCAUCGAACAACUGUUAACUGCAUUAGGACUUAGAGAAAUCCAACUCUAAUCUUGCCAACCGAGUGGUCAAGUUUAGAUUAUGCAACUGGUUAUACUUGUAUUUAAACAAUCUAAGCAAUUACGGACCUAAAUUAUUCAAACAAUAUAUUACUCACGCAAUUAAAAGCAAUAGGCCUUAAUUGAUUCUAAAAGCAAAGCAAUAAUUAUAGAAAGAUCAAGUUGCAUAAAUAUUGAAAGCAAAUAAGAGUUUAAUAAUGGAGUUUUAAAUCUCCCAAUUCAUCACAAAUCUGAAUUUUUCCAAUUUCAACUAGAAAAUGAUGGAUUUAGCCACUCAUGGUGGACAAAAUCACAAAAGGAAAGAAAAAAAGAAAGAUGGAGAAUUUCUGCCAAGAAUCUGCAGUGAUCCCGAAGCUGCUGAGAGGAUAUCUUUGCUGGUUUGGGCUGCCUCCUUUUAUAGGUGAGGAAUCCCAAUCCAAUUAGGUUUUGGAAUCCUAAAUUGGAUUGGUCCUUGUCUUUGAUCUCUACUUUAAUUGUGAAUAAAUCUUCUUCUUGAGGAGGUCUAUCUUGAGAGUGACUCUUUGAGAUGCCCUAGGAUUGAUCUUGAAGUGUUUGAGAGGGGUUAGGACUUCUUUAUUUUAAAUCUUGAAUUUCUGCACUUUCCCGCUUCUGCUGUAUUUUCUGCUGUCAACGUGAUUGGGGCGGUGAUUUGGGCAGAUCGCUGCCCUAAUCGCUUUCUGUGAGUCAGUCCAGUUUUUGGCUUUCUGUCUCUGCGAGUGAUUUGGACUGUAAUUUGGGCAAAUCGUCAUGCCCAAAUCAUUUCUGCGUGUUGCCUCCGGGUUUCUGUUCUUGCGGGUGACUUGGCCAAUUCAUUGACCUAAUCAGUCUCCUGUGAGAUAGUUCAGGUUUCUGCUUUAGUUUGAUCUGGGCAGUGAUUUGGCCAAAUUACUGACCCAAUUACUUUUCUGUCAUUUUUUGCACUUUUUCUCCACUUUUCGAAUUUC
rnacentral:lncRNA from 1 species